CAUCGUACAUGUUCUGGGUGUCUUGAGGAGCUUGUCUUUGGAUGAUGCUGAGCAGGUCUUUCUUUCUGGUAACGAUUAUCAUUACAGUGAAGUAAAAGAAUUUAACAGACAGAUUGACAAACAACUGACGAAAGAAGAGAGACCAUUCUAUAGGGGUUGCCACAGCAGAAUGAACCGCCAACUUAUGCAGCAUAUGUUUUACACAGUGGAUACCCUUCCAGCCGCAACCCAGUACUGGGAAACACCCAUUUACAAUUAUAUACUUGAACAUGGGGAGAACAUGCAAACUCCACACAGAAAUGACCACUGGCCCAGCCGGGGCUUGAACCAGCAACCUUCUUGCUGUGAGGCGACGGUUUCAACCACUGUGCUGCCCCAUGUGCUCUAUGCGGAGGCCUCUAGAGAUCGUGACCUGUGAAGAGAUGAUGCCACCAUAGAGGACUUCUAGAUGUAUCCAUAAUCCUGGACCAGACCGUAUCAUGAUCAGAUGCAGUGGUGGUCAUGGAGAAGUGGAGAGCAUGAUACUGAUUAAUGAAAGACCCCAGCGACAGAUGAGUGCCCACAUUGAUCCUGUGGUCCAGCCUGAAAACCCGCUGGUGCCCUACUCACACCUGCAGCUUCUCCACGAUGGACGCC
rnacentral:lncRNA from 1 species